GCUGAGCAUGGUGGUGCAUGCCUGUAGUCCCAUCUACUUGGGAGGCUGAGACAGGAGGAUUGCUUGAGCCCAGGAGGUUGAGGCUGCAGUGAGCUAUGAUCGAAUCACUGCACUCCAGCCUGGGAGACCAAGCGAGAUCCUGUCUCAA
rfam:Homo sapiens chromosome 1, GRCh38 reference primary assembly.